AAGAAUGGGGCGCUAUAAUGCAGUCGACGCUUUGUGGUUCAACUGAUUUGAAGAGCUUGCUCAGAUAUGACGAUGGACAUUGCAAAGAGUGGCGAACGGGUGAGUAACACGUGGGAAACCUACCUCUUAGCAGGGGAUAACAUUUGGAAACAGAUGCUAAUACCGUAUAACAAUGACAACCGCAUGGUUGUUAUUUGAAAGAUGGUUCUGCUAUCACUAAGAGAUGGUCCCGCGGUGCAUAAGUUAGUUGGUAAGGUAAAGGCUUUCCCAAGGCGAUGAUGCAUAGCCGAGUUGAGAGACUGAUCGGCCCCCAAUGGGACUGAGACCCGGCCCCAUAUUCCUACGGGAGGCAGCAGUAGGGAAUCUUUCCCCAAUGGGCGAAAGCCUGAUGGAGCAACGCCGCGUGUGUGAUGAAGGGUUUCGGCUCGUAAAACACUGUUGUAAGAGAAGAAUGACAUUGAGAGUAACUGUUCAAUGUGUGACGGUAUCUUACCAGAAAGGAACGGCUAAAUACGUGCCAGCAGCCGCGGUAAUACGUAGUUCCAAGCGUUAUCCGGAUUUAUUGGGCGUAAAGCGAGCGCAGACGGUUAUUUAAGUCUGAAGUGAAAGCCCUCAGCUCAACUGAGGAAUUGCUUUGGAAACUGGAUGACUUGAGUGCAGUAGAGGAAAGUGGAACUCCAUGUGUAGCGGUGAAAUGCGUAGAUAUAUGGAAGAACACCAGUGGCGAAGGCGGCUUUCUGGACUGUAACUGACGUUGAGGCUCGAAAGUGUGGGUAGCAAACAGGAUUAGAUACCCUGGUAGUCCACACCGUAAACGAUGAGUGCUAGGUGUUUGAGGGUUUCCGCCCUUAAGUGCCGCAGCUAACGCAUUAAGCACUCCGCCUGGGGAGUACGACCGCAAGGUUGAAACUCAAAGGAAUUGACGGGGACCCGCACAAGCGGUGGAGCAUGUGGUUUAAUUCGAAGCAACGCGAAGAACCUUACCAGGUCUUGACAUCCCUUGACAACUCCAGAGAUGGAGCGUUCCCUUCGGGGACAAGGUGACAGGUGGUGCAUGGUUGUCGUCAGCUCGUGUCGUGAGAUGUUGGGUUAAGUCCCGCAACGAGCGCAACCCUUAUUACUAGUUGCCAGCAUUCAGUUGGGCACUCUAGUGAGACUGCCGGUGACAAACCGGAGAAAGGUGGGGAUGACGUCAAAUCAUCAUGCCCCUUAUGACCUGGGCUACACACGUGCUACAAUGGCGUAUACAACGAGUUGCCAACCCGCGAGGGUGAGCUAAUCUCUUAAAGUACGUCUCAGUUCGGAUUGUAGGCUGCAACUCGCCUACAUGAAGUCGGAAUCGCUAGUAAUCGCGGAUCAGCACGCCGCGGUGAAUACGUUCCCGGGUCUUGUACACACCGCCCGUCACACCAUGAGAGUUUGUAACACCCAAAGCCGGUGGGGUAACCUUCGGGAGCCAGCCGUCUAAAGGGGGGCGGGG
rnacentral:rRNA from 1 species